rnacentral:rRNA from 1 species
GAGUUUGAUCGUGGCUCAGAUUGAACGCUGGCGGCAUGCCUUACACAUGCAAGUCGAGCGGCAGCGCGGGGGCAACCCUGGCGGCGAGCGGCGAACGGGUGAGUAAUGCAUCGGAACGUGUCCUCUUGUGGGGGAUAACCAGUCGAAAGACUGGCUAAUACCGCAUGAGAUCGAGAGAUGAAAGCAGGGGACCGCAAGGCCUUGCGCGAGAGGAGCGGCCGAUGCCGGAUUAGCUAGUUGGUGGGGUAAAGGCCUACCAAGGCGACGAUCCGUAGCUGGUCUGAGAGGACGACCAGCCACACUGGGACUGAGACACGGCCCAGACUCCUACGGGAGGCAGCAGUGGGGAAUUUUGGACAAUGGGGGAAACCCUGAUCCAGCCAUGCCGCGUGUGUGAAGAAGGCCU